CGGCGGCGGCGCCGAAAAGAGGCCGGAGGCGAGCGCGGGGCCGACGGUGGGCGCGCAGGGCCGCCCGCAGCCCGCAGAGCGCGCGAGCCCGAGGCCGAGCCUGGCCGGGCGUCCAGACAGGUGAUGGGUGGUGCGGCGGCGGCUCCGGCCUCGCUCCGGGCUCCCUCCCGGGGCUGAUGCCCGCAAACGUGCAGAAUUCCCGGCCAGGUCGCUCCUAGAGCUGCGCCCGGGAGCGAGCGCGGCGGCGGCCAGCACCGGGGACACACCAAGGAAGAAGCCCAGCCCCCGCCCUCCGCCCCUUCCGUCCCCACCCCCUACCGGCGGCCCAGGAGGAUCCCGGCGCGACGGGCGCGCACUCCUGCUCCUCCUCCUCGCCGCGCUGCCUCCUCUGCACUCGCUGCUCGCGCCGGGCGCGCUCCGCCCGCUCGCAGCUCCGCGCCACCCUCCGGGCCGCGCUCCCUGAGGGAUGGUACUGAAUCUCGCCGCCACAGGAGCCCGGCUGGAGUGCCCGCCCCGCGGCCUCGCCUCCUCGCCGCGCCGCCAGCGCCUCGGGACGCGAUGAGGACCUGGGCUUGCCUGCUGCUCCUCGGCUGCGGAUACCUCGCCCAUGCCCUGGCCGAGGAGGCCGAGAUCCCCCGCGAGGUGAUCGAGCGGCUGGCGCACAGUCAGAUCCACAGCAUCCGGGACCUCCAGCGACUCCUGGAGAUAGACUCCGUAGGGGUCGAGGAUGCUCUGGAAAGCAGCCUGAGGGCCCACGGGGGCCGCGCCUCCAAGCACACCCCCGAGAAGAGGCCGGUGCCGGUUCGGAGGAAGAGAAGCAUCGAGGAAGCCGUGCCCGCCGUCUGCAAGACCAGGACGGUCAUUUACGAGAUACCUCGGAGCCAGGUGGACCCCACGUCCGCCAACUUCCUGAUCUGGCCCCCGUGCGUGGAGGUGAAGCGCUGCACCGGCUGCUGCAACACCAGCAGCGUCAAGUGCCAGCCGUCCCGCGUGCACCACCGCAGCGUCAAGGUGGCCAAGGUGGAGUACAUCAGGAAGAAGCCAAAGUUAAAAGAGGUGCAGGUGCGGCUGGAGGAGCACCUGGAGUGCACGUGCACGCCCACCGGCCCGAGCCCGGACUUCCGCGAGGAGGAGACAGGAAGGCGCAGGGAGUCAGGUAAAAAGCGGAAAAGAAAAAGGUUAAAACCCACCUAACCAGCCAACCAGGACCGGUGCUGUCCAUCCUCAGAGGUGCCUCAUGGCCCAAAAUGGCUGCUAAAGCUCCAGAAAUCACAUCCACACUCCAGGCUGAAAGAACGAGUAAGAUGUGAGGUGAGGAUAAGCUAGCGGCCCUUUCCCGGGACACGGAUGUACAUGGCGUGUUACAUUCCUGAACCUACUAUGUACGGUGCUUAUUGCCAGCGUGCGGUCUUUGUUCUCCUCCGUGAAAAACUGCCUCCACGCGCACCCUGGAGAACAAAGAGACAGUAUACGUUUGUUUAAUGUGACAUCAAAGCAAGUAUUGUAGCACUGGGUGAGCCGGUCAGAGCUUCCUUGUCCGAAACAGAGCGCACAGAACCAGAGCGGCUCCGACGUGCUUCACCCGCCGCGGGGAUGGAGGGCGCCUGCGGACGGCAGCGGCGGACGCCACGCGGAUGGACUUCUGUCCGGGGGUCACAGGUGCUUUGCCAAGGACACGGUGGACCUGCUCUUUGCGGAGGACAGGCCGGCGCCGCGGCGGCACGGGCACAGGAGCCUCUGGGAGCCGCCGUGGCGGUGCUCCGGAGCCGCAUCUCCUUGCUGUAGUGUUUAAGUCUAGACCGAACUUCCUGAGAGCCUUAAGUGGGUUUUUUUUUUUUUUUUUU